UGGGGAAUAUUGGGCAAUGGACGCAAGUCUGACCCAGCAACGCCGCGUGAAGGAAGAAGGCUUUCGGGUUGUAAACUUCUUUUAAGGGGGAACAGUAGAAGAGGGUACCCCUUGAAUAAGCCACGGCUAACUACGUGCCAGCAGCCGCGGUAAUACGUAGGUGGCAAGCGUUGUCCGGAUUUACUGGGUGUAAAGGGCGUGCAGCCGGAGAGACAAGUCAGAUGUGAAAUCCGCGGGCUUAACCCGCGAACUGCAUUUGAAACUGUUUCCCUUGAGUAUCGGAGAGGUAAUCGGAAUUCCUAGUGUAGCGGUGAAAUGCGUAGAUAUUAGGAAGAACACCAGUGGCGAAGGCGGAUUACUGGACGACAACUGACGGUGAGGCGCGAAAGCGUGGGGAGCAAACAGGA
rnacentral:rRNA from 1 species